CAUGUUUAAUGGGGUAGCUUAAGAAGGUAGCUUAGCAUAAAGAGGAUUAAAAAUAAAUGAAAAAAGGCAAAACACUAAGGGGCGCCCCUUGAUUAAGCGAACCAAGGCACGUCUCUUAGAGACAGGUGUCAUAAAAUAAUUGGAUAGAGGAGAAGCGUCACUUUGCUCUCAUCUCCGUUCUUCUUUGCCCUCUCGCUCUCGUCUCCGUUCUUCUUUUCUCUCUCUCUCUCUCUCGGUUUGUCUCCUGCAAACACAAUUGAGGAGCAGGAACAUGAAGAGAUUCUCACUGAGAUAUCAUCACAAGGAGAGGAGAGAAGAGGAGAAACUCUCCGGCCGUCGCUCGUGCGAUGUAGAUUCUCGUGUUCUCUUUGACGGCGAUUCGUUAACCGAAUUCAUUUUUCUCUCCGUCGCGCUCGCUCACCAAAAAGCUUUGGUUAACCAGAAUUUAAAUAUCUAUGGAUGGAUGCUUGAAAAACAUAUAGUCAAGAAUAGCAAAAGCAGGAUACGUUCUGUUCUUCCUCUUCUUUCUUUUGUGGCUAAUGGAUUUCAAGUUGUAAUAUUUUAGUUGUCUUUGAUAAGGUCGAAGUUGGAUCUCUGAAACAUUACUUUUCUCUGUGUUUCAAAUAUCGGUUCUGUUUGGUUCUCUUGUUUAGUUGUGUAUGAAAAGUUUGGAUCUUUUGGUUGGCUCUUGUUAAAUAAAACGUUGAGACUUUUCUACUGGUUUGCUUUAUUCUC